rnacentral:rRNA from 1 species
GGCGUGCCUAAUACAUGCAAGUCGAGCGCGGGAAGCCGGCGGACUCCUUCGGGAGGAAACCGGUGGAACGAGCGGCGGACGGGUGAGUAACACGUGGGCAACCUGCCGGAGUGAUGGGAAUAACCCCGGGAAACCGGGGCUAAUGCCCAAUACGCCCUGACCUCGCCUGAGGUCAGCGGUAAAGCAGGGAUCUUCGGAUCCUUGCACAGUCCGAUGGGCCCGCGGCGCAUUAGCUAGUUGGAGAGGUAAGGGCUCCCCAAGGCGACGAUGCGUAGCCGACCUGAGAGGGUGAUCGGCCACACUGGGACUGAGACACGGCCCAGACUCCUACGGGAGGCAGCAGUAGGGAAUCAUCCGCAGUGGGCGAAAGCCUGACGGUGCAACGCCGCGUGAGUGAUGAAGGUUUUCGGAUCGUAAAGCUCUGUUGACAGGGAAGAACCCACGUCAGUCGAACAGGCUGGCGUGCUGACGGUACCUGUCCAGAAAGCCCCGGCUAACUACGUGCCAGCAGCCGCGGUAAUACGUAGGGGGCAAGCGUUGUCCGGAAUUAUUGGGCGUAAAGGGCACGCAGGCGGUUUCGUCAGUCCGAUGUGACAGGCCACGGCUCAACCGUGGAAGGCCAUUGGAAACUGCGAAACUUGAGGACAGAAGAGGAGAGUGGAAUUCCACGUGUAGCGGUGAAAUGCGUAGAUAUGUGGAGGAACACCAGUGGCGAAGGCGACUCUCUGGUCUGUACCUGACGCUGAGGUGCGAAAGCAUGGGGAGCAAACAGGAUUAGAUACCCUGGUAGUCCAUGCCGUAAACGCUGAGUGCUAGGUGUUAGGGGUUUCGAUACCCGUAGUGCCGAA